rnacentral:sRNA from 1 species
UUUGGGUGCUUUCUUCUGGCAGGGAAACGAAAUCUCCGGAACUUAUAAAAAUGAUUAAGGUUGUUGUGCUCGCUCUCCUCUGCUUCACGGUCCUCCUCCAUCAGUCGCACGGGCUGGGAUUCCAAAACAUCAUCUGUAGAGACCGGUGUCGGUACAGGUUUAAGCAGUGUCUGGACUUGUGUGUCGAAAAGAAUGAUCUCGAAAAGGACUUCAGUGGUGGUUACGAGGAAUGCAUGAAUUUGUGCUCUCAGCUACUUUUGUUGCCGUGCAGCUGCCCCUAGUCAUAACGUUAAAGAAGAUCUAGCCUCGGGGCUGGGCCUCGGUCAAAAGUAUAUGUAUAUCAAUGGCACGUGUAUGAUGCACUUUCAUUUGAAAGCAAAAAAUCCGCCUGAAACUUUGACUUUGUUUUGAAUUUAACAUCAGCUAGUAAGAAUCGUUUUGAUUUAAAAUCAUGUAAUUGAAUUUAAGCCUGUACAUUUUGAGAAUAUUGUUAAAAGUGUCAGCAGACCAUUGCUGAUAUAUUUUGCAAUAAAUGUUUCAUGUAUCUACAAUAAAGAUCUGUAAAUUAAAAAGCCUGGUUUUCACCGGACAAAUUUCGUUG